ACCAAAUCAACUAAACCUCCUAUCGUUGUUCUUUGCACCAAAUCAAAAGAACAUCACACACACAACAAACUUGCUAUAAAUUUCAUACAUCCAAGCACCAAAUCCGCAUAACAGUAUUUUUGUUGCGUCAGAACAAAACAUUAUAUGAGAAGCUUGCUGCAAGUUGAUAUUUUAGAAGAAAAAAUAUCAAACUAUAACAUGAAUUCUGAAUAUUUAGAAGUCAAAAAACGACCCUAAUCAACAAUCACCGAUGUACAAUAUUAUUAUAUUUCCGACCAUGAUCAAAUUAUUGCUGUAUAGAACAGACGACUCUAAUCUCGCCGAUGUCGCUUCCGUAGUGAUUGAUGCACUGCAUUGGCAAAAAGGGCGGUCAGUCCACAUCAAAGGACUGAUAUCAAAGCAUUGAUGACCAGCUAGCAAAGAAAGAUCAUAAAAUAAUCGUGCAUUGAUUUCAAAAUUUCACGGAUCAAAUGGGCAGCAACAUCGCAUCCAUAUCCACUAAACAAAUGAUCUUCCAAUGGAAAGCUGCAAAUAGCAGCACAGAAUAAUAAUAUUAGAAAUGAACAACCAGGCAUAUAUAUCAAUGAUACAGCGUUAUACAUCGUGUAAGAAUACACUAAAUUCGUAUGACCACAAAAAACUAUGGUCUACUUUCAGAGAACAGUACCAAAAUCACAAGUUUAUGAACAAAGAUUUCUUUCUUUCUUUCCCCGCAAAAAAAAGAUUUCUUUCUUUGGUACAAAAUAAUACUUGCAAAAGGAGGGCAAAGCAAAAUUAAAUGAAAUGCGGAGAUAGAUCAAUUCAGUUCCAAUAUGCACUGUAUAAAUAAGAGCUUCCAUUACAGUCAUAAUCAGGGGAAAACAGGACAAAGAAAGGACAAGAUAAGUACAUAAAAAAGGACAAGAUAAGAUGAUGUACAUGAAUGGAUUCUCAUCUCAUAAGCAUUUAUCAUGGUGCAUUCUAGGGAAAUCAAAUUUCAGAUAAAAAGUUAUGAAAUCUGGCGGAUACCAAUGGAUGCACACACUACACAUAUUCUGGGUGUUCAAGACCAGUAUGCAUGAAAAUAGCUACAAGGGGGAUUCUUGCAUAUUCUAGAUGAUCUUGCAAGGAAAUAAGAGAACAAGGAAGGUUCAUGUGGGCUACUUGAGCCAUCAGCUUCAGGUUACUAGAUGAACAAGGAAGGUUCAUGUGAGCUAGAUGAAGAUGCGAGUCCCAGUAGGGUACAAAGAAAACCAAGUAUGUACAUCAAGAUCAAUAUACCUUAGUCUUCACGAUGCUGCCCCAAGCGGGGUCUUGCUGCGGCUGUGAGGCGGUGAAGCUGGCCUACAGAAAAUGGAGGCAAAAUGCAGAUUUAGACAUCGAAAGUAGUAUGAAACAGUUAUCGUUCUAAUGUAGCACAUACAAGUCAGGUCAAGCAACAUAAAGUGGUAUGAAACAGUUAUCGUUCUAAUGGAGGCAAUAUAUUUUUUUCUCUUAUUACAAAAACAUUUUAUGUCUACACAUCUCAAUAUAUUCUAUAUGUUCUGACAAGUAAAACUUUCUGCAUCUAAAUUAGUAAAGUGCACUGUCGUAGUUGCAUGGCUUCAAGAUGCCUUGAUCUCAGAGCAUUUUACCUAAAUUUCUCUUCACCCCCACUAUCAGAAAAAAUUCAUGUAGUUGAUGUUCACCUCAGUUACAUAAAACUCAACUUUUCUCACCUCCCAAGGAUAUCAUUGACAAAACUAUAUAGCUACAAUUGCAUCUUGUUGAUUCUCUACAGGUAGCUGCAAAUAUAGUACUGAAUCUCAGGGACAAAUAAAUACUAGAUUACUAGUAGCAUAUAUGUGCACUGCUAAUGACAUUGACAAAAAGAUUCGACUAUGUAGCAGAUUUGGUUAGAUUCAACUAGGUACACCAUUUGCACCAAAUCACAGGUAGAGCAAGUACAGAGGAGGGUACUGGGAAGCUGUAGUAAGCAGAGAGGAGAGGUGGAGCCUCGCCGGCAAGACGGCCCUUGUCACCGGUGGAAAAGGGGACGGGAAACCCUAGAAAUCAAAAGGGGGGAGAGGAAGGAAACAAGGGUGGGGGAGAAGAUCUUACCGGCAUAGAAACGUUGGGGAGGGCCACCGGAGUAGGUUGGUGCGGCCGCCGAGCUCGCGCCGGGGAUGGAAGAAGAGGGUCGCAGAUCGGCUGCUGACUUGGGGAGAGUGGGGCGAGGUAGAAGGAUGGCGCAGCAGCCGGUCUUCAGUGGAGGAGAGAGAUCGCCCGCUCCGGCCCCUCGCCGUCGCCUAGUUCUUCCCUGUCGGCGUCGGCGCCGCCGCCGCUCUCGCCCGCUCCUCCUUUUUCUUUCGAGCCGAGAAGACUGAGA
rnacentral:lncRNA from 1 species